AUUGAACGCUGGCGGCAGGCCUAACACAUGCAAGUCGAACGCGUGGCAGACGGGUGUGUAAUGUCUGGGACACUGCCUUAUGGCGGGGGUUAAUUCCUGGAAACGGUAGCUAAUACCGCAUACCUUCCGCUGUUCCCCGAUGGGAUUAGCUAGUUGGUGGGGUAACGGCUCACCAAGGCGACGAUCCCUAGCUGGUCUGAGAGGAUGACCAGCCACACUGGAACUGAGACACGGUCCAGACUCCUACGGGAGGCAGCAGGGGGGAAGAUUGCACAAUGGGCGCAAGCCUGAUGCAGCAAUGCCGCGUGUAUGAAGAAGGCCUUCGGGUUGUAAAGUACUUUCAGCGGGGAGGCGUUACCCGCAGAAGAAGCACCGGCUAACUCCGUGCCAGCAGCCGCGGUAAUUC
rnacentral:rRNA from 1 species